rnacentral:lncRNA from 10 species
AAAUAUGUUGCUUAAACAGAACUCUAUGUUCAAAUGGCAUCUGUUAUGAGCCUUGAGCUUGUCUACACAGAGCCACAGAAGGCAGCAAAGAUAAGCGGUGGUGGGAACCUGAGUCACUGACCGUCAAUCAAGGGACUGCACCUCCUGGAAUACUCCCUGCUGGUUCGUAAGCUCUGGAAACUCAGGUGAAAACAGCAGAUGGAACUGGUGUUGAUAUUAAGACACUGCUGCUUCCUUCCAAUUCUUUGCCAAUUUCUUUUUCUUUGCCAAAUUUGUAAACCUCGGGUGAAUGUCAUGUGCCCUCUUAACUCUUUGGUCCUGAGUUCUUGGAGAAUCUCUGUAGGUUGAGGAACUCAAUGGGUAUUUUCUACAGAAUAAUACCUGACCAGUUACAAGCACAUUACAUAGUAAGGCCACAAGAAGGCUCAAAUUGCCCAACUCUAAUUCUCUUACCUGUCUGCUCCCAUGGAAGGCUUUUCUUGCCUGCAGUUGGCUGUAACAGUGUAAUUACAUUAAACCAGUUCCUGGAACACCUCCCAUGGACUGUGAGCUCCUGGAAGCAGUUCAUUUUUGUAUCCUUAGCACCUGGCAUACAGCCUGGCAUGCAGUGGACACUCAACAAAUAUCUUUGAAUGAAUUAGUGAGUGGAUGAUAGUAAAGAAUAGCAAAAGUAAAACGUUCUUCCAAUGAAAGUAGAUGUUGAGAAUUUUCUAUCUCUGUGCAAGAGAGUGAGCCCAGCAUAGUGUCUUAGCAUACUGUAGGGGCUCAGUAAACCUUCAGUAAUUACAAAAAGGAAGGAAGGAAGAAAUGCAAUAUGAAGGUGAACAGGGGAGAUGUGUGGGUUAGCCCCACCUUUGCCUCUCAUCACUUAGGGGAAUGCUCAGUUUCCCUGAAAAUAUGCCAUUCCAGUCAAAGCUUUGGUAGAACAAUCAGUGUCUCCAGUUAUGCCCUGUUACAAAAGAAAACAGAUUCUUAUUGAAUUUAUGAAAAAAAAGAUAUUGCCAUAAAUUAAGAAUACUCAUAAAUAGUUUCCAGUUUCUGAAGAAAUCAGCUAGAGAUAAAGAAAAUGCUUCAAAUUUGUGUUUACAAAAAUAUACUUUAACCAAUUUAUUGUAAACUAUAAAUAGCCCAAAAGAGAAAGAAGUCUUUUUAGUUAUAGUCCAAUGGUACAAUCUCUGAAGUUAUCAGAAACCUGUAUUCAAGAGUACUUGCCAGCCUUUUCCACGAAUAUCCUUAAUAGAUACAGGGUCUCACUCUGUCACCCAGACUAGAGUACAGUAGCAAGAUCAUAGCUCACUGCAGCCUUGAACUCUGGAGCCUGCAUCCUUGGGCCUCAUCAUGGCCUAGAGGUGCAAAUCAGAGAUAGAAGCUCACAUAUUAAUAAAAUCAUAGAAGCAACUAUUUUAUGACCUUAAAAUACCUAUCAGUAUAAACCUGUCUGAUCAAUAGACACAGGUAAAAAUAUCUAAAUUAAAUUCUGAAGAUGUUUCUAUUUUAUUUUACCAAUAAUAUUAAAACUACAUUUAUUUAUCAAAGAUUAUUCAAUAAAUACAGCCAGUGAUUUGUAUAACAUCCAUUUACUGAACACUGUUUCCUAGUCAGGAUAUUGUACUAACAUACAAUUAAAAAUCACUGCUGCAUCAUUUUUUCCUUCCUCCAGGAAUAAGUAAAAUUCCUUUCUUCUACUAUCUUAGUGAAAACCUCUACCCAAUUUCACAAAGGGUGAUGAUUUCAAUAAUGACAAUUAUAACAAAUAACAAGAAUUUGCUAUGUGCCAAUUAUAAUUCUAACCAUGUAUUUAUUCACACUUCAA